rnacentral:lncRNA from 1 species
UUGAUCUCAAAAGGAUGAUAUAGAUUAAAUGAAUGGAGAAUGAUUGAUUGAUAAAUAGGGUAGAUUUAUAAAUAAGGUAGCUCGCGAAGAAACCGGGUUCUUCUGCCUACGUACCCUUAUAGUGCAAUAAGGAAGCCAGGGCUUUCGUAGUUCAGCCCACUAGGGCUGAAAGCCAGAAUGAUUGAUGGAUAAGUGGAUGAG